UUAGGCGUUGUUGGGUAGGGGAGCGUUCUGUAAGCCGUUGAAGGUGGCCUGUGAGGGUUGCUGGAGGUAUCAGAAGUGCGAAUGCUGACAUAAGUAACGAUAAAGCGGGUGAAAAGCCCGCUCGCCGGAAGACCAAGGGUUCCUGUCCAACGUUAAUCGGGGCAGGGUGAGUCGACCCCUAAGGCGAGGCUGAAAAGCGUAGUCGAUGGGAAACAGGUUAAUAUUCCUGUACUUGGUGUUACUGCGAAGGGGGGACGGAGAAGGCUAGGCUAGCCGGGCGACGGUUGUCCCGGUUUAAGCGUGUAGGGGGUGUGACCUGGUAAAUCCGGUUGCAUAUCAACCCUGAGGCGUGAUGACGAUGCACUACGGUGCAGAAGUAGUUGAUGCCCUGCUUCCAGGAAAAGCCUCUAAGCUC
rnacentral:rRNA from 1 species